UCAGCCAAUUGUAGAAAAGACAACACAGUACGAUUCAAAUAUGACAGAUUUUAUUUAUUAUGAACCUUUUGUGUGUGUGUGUGUGUGUGUGUGUGUGUGUGUGUGUGUGUGUGUGUGUGUGUGUGUGUGUGUGUGUGUGUGUGUGUGUGUGUGUGUGUGUGUGUGUGUGUGUGUGUGUGUGUGUGUCAGAGUGAGUAUUAUGAUGAUAAAAAUUAAAAAAAGAAUAAACAGUGUUGCAUACCUCUGGAAAGCACACUUUGUGUAUAAUAUACCUUAUUAGGCUUACUGUCAUUUAACAAAACAAAUAGGCUAUAUGAUAUCUAAAAUAGAUUAUUUGAACCCGCCCCAAAUUACAACUAAUAUAUUUUAUUGACACUGAUAGACCAACGAUUUCAUCAUUUUAAACUGUAGGAAGCUUUCGCCAGAGAGCAAGGCUUUCUGGUACUUCAACUGUCGCAAAAAAAACGUUAAAUUACCUUAACAUGCAAAUCAACUGAUAAACGACCGCCCAUAGAUUUUGAGCGACCAAGUCAGCCAGCGACCACAGCGACUGAAAGCAGCCACACGAGCGACCUACGUCGCGACCAAUGCGACCUACGUCGCGACGCACUAAACACACUUAAUCAUUAUAUUCUUUGCUGUGUUGGCCACCUAGGGAAACACCAGCAGAGACACACUGGGCAAUGGUGUGUGGUGCCGGUCUCCUUGGCAGUGCACCACUCCCCUCUUUAACCUUCCCAUACUUGUAUUCCCUCAGGGCUCUUUUUGGAGGUCGACCAGUGAUGAGUACCCGUCUGCCCCCCAGCAGAGUCUUACGGCGAGCAUCACCGGUAGGCUGCACGCCUCUUUGUGAGCUCAUUUCCAGACCUUUUCUUGGCUGCAUUUUGAUGUUUCGCACAGCAGCACUCCUCAGCUUCCCAAAUGUAGACAGUGCUGAGACCAGGCCGCUGUCAGUGUGGAUUUUAUCAAAGGAUGACACUAGGGAUUCUAUUGGGGCUUGGAAGGUCUCAUGAUCCUUUUCAAGCUUGUCCAUGAGGCCAUCAAACAUGGAUCUGAGACGACCUUUGAGACACUCAGCAACCAACUCACUUUGAGAGGACGCUCCUGCAGAGGCAGAGCCGUCUAGUGGGGUUGGGGGAGCGGUUGUUCCAGCUUGUUCUUGGGUGCCUAUUUUGCAGAAACCCACGUUUAUUUCAGAUCCUGGCAUGUGAUUGGCAAAGGACCAAGACGGGAAAUACGCACGUGUCUCACACUGUUCCUUGUUGUAAACCUCCAGACGUUCCUGGAGGUUUUCAAGCAUGGCAUCCCCUGAUACAGCUCCAUACUCCUUCUUGAAAAUGGAGUAGUAUAAUCUGUGAAGGCAAUAA
ensembl:lncRNA